rnacentral:rRNA from 1 species
GCUUGUCUCAAAGAUUAAGCCAUGCAUGUCUAAGUGUAAAUAAGUCUAUACUGUGAAACUGCGAAUGGCUCAUUAAAUCAGUUAUCGUUUAUUUGAUGAUCUCUUACUACUUGGAUAACCGUAGUAAUUCUAGAGCUAAUACAUGCUGAAAAUCCCGACUUCGGAAGGGAUGUGUUUAUUAGAUAAAAAACCAAUGCCCUUCGGGGCUUUUUGGUGAUUCAUGAUAACUUUACGGAUCGCAUAGCCUUGCGCUGGCGACGGUUCAUUCAAAUUUCUGCCCUAUCAACUUUCGAUGGUAAGGUAUUGGCUUACCAUGGUUUCAACGGGUAACGGGGAAUUAGGGUUCGAUUCCGGAGAGGGAGCCUGAGAAACGGCUACCACAUCCAAGGAAGGCAGCAGG